GUUCCACAUCCGACGGUCCGCAGAACAAAAAAAGAAGUGCGUGCACUACUUUUUAGCAGUGCAGAGGCAUGGAUAGAAAACCUACUGAAGCACUCCGUAGUGCUUCUGUGGGCUUCCGAUCCGUGCCUCCGUUUCACACAGUAUCAUCGGGAUUGC